GAUGAAGUGACCGAUUUAAGGUAAUAGAUUGUAAAUCUAUUUAUGUGGUUAAUUCCUCCUUCAUCA
rnacentral:tRNA from 1 species